UACAGAGGUCUCAAGCGUUGUUCGGAAUCACUGGGCGUAAAGGGUGCGUAGGUGGCGUGGUAAGUCAGAUGUGAAAGCCCGGGGCUCAACCCCGGAAUUGCAUCCGAUACUACCAUGCUAGAGUACUGAAGAGGUGACUAGAAUUCUCGGUGUAGCAGUGAAAUGCGUAGAUAUCGAGAGGAAUACCAACGGCGAAGGCAGGUCACUGGGCAGUUACUGACACUGAGGCACGAAGGCCAGGGGAGCAAACGGG
rnacentral:rRNA from 1 species